rnacentral:rRNA from 1 species
GAUGAACGCUAGCGACAGGCUUAACACAUGCAAGUCGAGGGGCAGCGGGGGUGAUGGCUUGCCAUCACCCUGCCGGCGACCGGCGCACGGGUGAGUAACACGUAUGCAACCUGCCCGCCACAGGGGGAUAAGCGGAAGAAAUUCCGUCUAAUACCGCGUGACGCGGCAUCGGGGCAUCCCGGUGCCGCCAAAGGGAUUACCGGUGGCGGAUGGGCAUGCGGCGCAUUAGCUAGUCGGCGGGGUAACGGCCCACCGAGGCGACGAUGCGUAGGGGUUCUGAGAGGAAGGUCCCCCACACUGGUACUGAGACACGGACCAGACUCCUACGGGAGGCAGCAGUGAGGAAUAUUGGUCAAUGGGCGGGAGCCUGAACCAGCCAAGUCGCGUGAGGGAUGACGGUCCUACGGAUUGUAAACCUCUUUUGCCGGGGAGCAAGCGUGCGUUCGUGAACGCGCGUCGAGAGUACCCGGAGAAAAAGCAUCGGCUAACUCCGUGCCAGCAGCCGCGGUAAUACGGAGGAUGCGAGCGUUAUCCGGAUUUAUUGGGUUUAAAGGGUGCGUAGGCGGGAUGCCAAGUCAGCGGUAAAAAUGCGGUGCUCAACGCCGUCGAGCCGUUGAAACUGGCGUUCUUGAGUGGGCGAGAAGUAUGCGGAAUGCGUGGUGUAGCGGUGAAAUGCAUAGAUAUCACGCAGAACUCCGAUUGCGAAGGCAGCAUACCGGCGCCCUACUGACGCUGAGGCACGAAAGCGUGGGUAUCGAACAGGAUUAGAUACCCUGGUAGUCCACGCAGUAAACGAUGAAUGCUAACUGUCCGGUGCGAAUGAGCGCUGGGCGGUACAGCGAAAGCGUUAAGCAUUCCACCUGGGGAGUACGCCGGCAACGGUGAAACUCAAAGGAAUUGACGGGGGCCCGCACAAGCGGAGGAACAUGUGGUUUAAUUCGAUGAUACGCGAGGAACCUUACCCGGGCUCAAACGCAGGAUGACGGGUCCCGAAAGGGGCCUUUCUUCGGACAUUCUGCGAGGUGCUGCAUGGUUGUCGUCAGCUCGUGCCGUGAGGUGUCGGCUUAAGUGCCAUAACGAGCGCAACCCCUGUCCACAGUUGCCAGCAGGUAAAGCUGGGGACUCUGUGGAGACUGCCGGCGCAAGCUGCGAGGAAGGCGGGGAUGACGUCAAAUCAGCACGGCCCUUACGUCCGGGGCGACACACGUGUUACAAUGGCAGGUACAGCGGGAUGCCACGGGGCGACCCGGCGCUGAACCCGAAAACCUGUCUCAGUUCGGAUUGGAGUCUGCAACCCGACUCCAUGAAGCUGGAUUCGCUAGUAAUCGCGCAUCAGCCACGGCGCGGUGAAUACGUUCCCGGGCCUUGUACACACCGCCCGUCAAGCCAUGGAAGCCGGGGGUACCUGAAGUGAAUGACCGCGAGGAGCGCCCUAGGGUAAAACC